CCUGGUGGCUCAGAGGUUACAGCAUCUGCCUGCAAUGCGGGAGACCCAGGUUCGAUCCCUGGGUCAGGA
rnacentral:tRNA from 1 species